CGCGCUCACACGGGGUGCCCAUUGGGGCUGAGAGGCGGAACGCGCCAACCCGACGAACCUGAUCCGGCUCGUACCGGCGGAGGGAUGGGGAGCGGUCCGCGG
rnacentral:ncRNA from 2 species